rnacentral:lncRNA from 1 species
GGGACUACAGGCGCCCGCCAUCACGCCCGGCUGCUUUUUUUGUUUUAGUAGAGAGGAGGUUUCACCGUGUUAGCCAGGAUGGUCUCAAUCUCCUGACCUCGUGAUCCGCCCGCCUCGGCCUCUCAAAGUGCUGGGAUUACACGCGUGAGCCACCGCGCCUGGCCUGAAGAAAUAGGAAGAAGAAAAGCUUUUUGAAUGAAUCACUUCUCAUCUUCUCCGAAGUUGGAAGCAUCAAGAAUCUAAAUAAGCAUUUAUGAUGGCUGGCAUGAAUAUUUCUCUCCUUCAUCGUGCCUAUUUUAUGAACUUGAACAAGGAAGUUGCCACAACAUCUGUGGGCCAGAGAACUAUGCCAGAAUGUUAUUUCCAGAUUGCUUCCUGUAUUUACAAAGGCGGAAGAUAGAAUGGGAGUCCUAGUUGACCUUCAUAUAAUUUUUAGAAGAUGGAGCACUUCAACUUCUUCCACUCAUGAAAAGAGAGGUGACAGGUGAAGACAGAACAAGAAAACAAACCAAGAAUUUCCCCUCACCAGCCACCAGCUCUGCCAGCAACUUGAUCUUAGACUUCCCAGCCUCCGUAACGCCUCUGCUUAUAAUCUGUCAUGGAUUGGAAAACUAGAAAAAACAGUUUACAGAGUAUAACAAACUUUGGAGGAGUUAAUCGACUCUAAGUAAAAGAGUAUCUAGCACGGCUGUGGAACAAAGGAGAGACUCACAAACUGUUGAAAGAAUAAAUGAAUGAAUGAAUUCUGUUCAUGAGCUUUAAUAAAACAGCUCUGAGUAGUAACAGUGGAUCAAAUUUAGGCUUCUUGAUGCAGGCAUGGUGUAGAUUACUACUUCUGUAUUGUCCCAGGAGCUCAGCACAUUCCUGCAGAGAUGAUAGGAGCUCAUCUGAUACUUGUCAGCUUUGAAUAAACUCCAGUCCCCAAGAGAGAGAAUGAGAAUCACCGGAAUACGAAACUUCCCUGUUGGACUUCCCAACAUUCUUGAAUGCACCAAGAUAGCCUCUUGCUGUGAGAUUAAUAAAUGAAUAAAUGCCUCCAUAUUUUUCAAAUCUGUGAAGUUAACAACAUGUAGAUUUUUUUGCAUAUUUAAAAACUGCAACUAAAUCUUAAUGCCUCUGAAGCAGAUGGAAGAAAAUAAUAGGCUUCCAUUAACUGUGUCAAAUUGUAUAGGUCUUGGCCAUCACUGGUCCUGUUGUGAUGAAGGUUUUUUGCCCUUGGAUAUAAUUUAAUUUUCAAUUCUUCUAAUUAUGGUACUUCAGAACAUCAAUAUUUGAGAUGAACUUCUCUAGUGUCAAGGACUGAUUUGAGUUGUGUAAACCCUGAAUAUCUGAGACAGGUCUCGAUUAUUUUAGAAAGUUUAUUUUGCCAAGGUUGAGGAUGUGUGCCUGUGACACGGCCUCGGGAGGUCCUGAGGACAUGUGCUCAAGGUGGUCAGAGCACAGCUUUGCUUUAUACAUUUUAGAGAGACAUGAGACAUCAACCGACAUAUGUAAGAUGAACAUUGGUUCCAUCUGGAAAGGCGAGACAACUUCAAACGAGGAGGGGGCUUCCAGGUCAUAGGUAGAUAAGAGACAAAUGGCUGCAUUCUUUUGAGUUUCUGAUUAGCCUUUCCAAAGGAGGCAAUUAGAGUGAGCAAAAUGAACAAAAUCAAUUAUUUUGAUUCUGAACAAAAUGGGAGGCUGGUUUUCCCUAAGCAGUUCCCAGCUUGACUUUUCCCUUUAGCUGAGGGAUUUGGGGGGCCCAAGAUUUAUUUUUCUUUCACCGUUGUAUCAAACUACACAGGCGGCCUUGGAAACCAUCACAGUUGAGAGUAGGUAACGCCCAUUUGUUGCAUAGUUUUGUGCUCCACACUCUUAUCUACAAAAUUAUGAAUUUUUUUACAUAUAUUAAUUUCAGAAAAACUAAAAAUAAAACAAAGUAGUUUCAAACUAGUAUUGUUUUUAUAUCUUAAAAAUAAAGCUUUAUAUACUCUCCUUAC